GCGCCACCCGCGUUCUAUGGUCCGCGGCGCUCCCAGGGUCCCCCGCGCCGCGGCCGGUACCCGGGAGGAGCGCGGCGGCGGGCGCUGGCCUGUCCGGGGCCUGUCUUGCCCCGGGGCUGCGCCUGCCCGCGGCCGCCAUGGAGCUGGAGGUGCCUGAGGAAGCGGAGGGCUCGGCCGCAGCGGGUGCCGGUGCCAUCAGUCCGGAGGCCGGCGUGGGGGGACCGGACGCGUCAGGAGGCAUGCCUUCCUCCUCCUCCUCCUCCUCACUGGAGAAGAGCUACCCUGAAACCCACAGCACAAGAUCUGGAGGCUCUGGAAAGCUGGGAAGAGAGGUGACCCAGCUGGCUGGGGCUCAACUCCAAGGUCUGGGCGCAAAGAAGACAGCCAUCACUGAGGGCCCCUCACUGCCAGGACAGCCAGGCCAAGGAAAGAAGAUUGGUCAUCGAAGUGUGGAUGCUUCUGGGGAAACCACCUACAAAAAGACCACCUCGUCCACUCUGAAGGGGGCCAUCCAGCUGGGGAUUGGAUAUACUGUAGGAAAUCUGAGCUCCAAGCCAGAGAGAGAUGUCCUGAUGCAGGACUUCUACGUGGUGGAAAGCAUUUUUUUCCCAAGCGAAGGCAGUAACCUCACCCCAGCUCACCACUACGCCGACUUCAGGUUCAAGACCUAUGCCCCCGUGGCUUUCCGGUACUUCCGAGAGCUCUUUGGGAUUCGUCCAGAUGAUUAUUUGUAUUCGUUAUGUAACGAGCCUCUGAUCGAGCUGUCCAACCCCGGGGCCAGCGGCUCCCUCUUCUAUGUCACCAGCGACGAUGAAUUCAUCAUCAAAACUGUGAUGCACAAGGAAGCUGAAUUCCUGCAGAAGCUUCUUCCUGGAUACUACAUGAAUCUGAACCAGAACCCCCGGACACUGCUGCCCAAGUUUUAUGGACUGUACUGUGUGCAGUCCGGGGGCAAAAACAUCCGCGUGGUCGUGAUGAACAACAUCCUGCCUCGAGUGGUGAAAAUGCACCUGAAAUUCGACCUCAAAGGUUCAACCUACAAACGCCGGGCAUCCAAGAAGGAAAAAGAAAAGUCCAGCCCUACGUACAAGGAUCUGGACUUCAUCCAAGACAUGCCUGAGGGCCUGAUGUUGGAUGCAGACACCUUCAGUGCUUUGGUGAAGACAUUGCAGCGAGACUGCCUGGUAUUGGAAAGCUUUAAAAUCAUGGACUACAGCCUCCUGCUUGGGGUUCAUAACAUAGACCAGCACGAGCGGGAGCAGCUGUCGGAGGGAGCCCACAGCACAUCGGAUGAGAAGCGUCCCGUGGGGCAGAAGGCCCUGUACUCCACAGCCAUGGAGUCCAUCCAGGGAGGGGCUGUGCGGGGGGAGGCCAUCGACACGGACGACACGAUGGGAGGGAUCCCAGCAGUGAAUGGCAAAGGAGAGCGUCUCCUGCUGCACGUAGGAAUCAUAGAUAUCCUGCAGUCAUACAGGUUCAUCAAGAAGUUAGAGCACACCUGGAAGGCCCUUGUCCAUGAUGGGGACACAGUGUCAGUACACAGACCCAGCUUUUAUGCAGAGAGAUUCUUCAAAUUCAUGACCAACACGGUGUUUCGAAAGAAUUCCUCUCUGAAGUCGUCCCCCUCCAAGAAAGGGCGCAGUGCCUUGCUGGCCGUGAAGACGGCGGGUCCCACGGCGGCGUUCUCGGCCAGCCAGCUGGCCUCCGACAAGGACGACACCCAGUACGACCUGCGGGCGGCCAGGAGCUACCCCACGCUGGACGAUGAAGGUGCUAAACCUAACCAGGACAGGGAAGAAGCAGGCAGGCCAGACCUGCUCCCUUGCACUCCUCCUUCCUUUGAAGAAGCUACCACGGCCUCCAUAGCCACGACACUGUCGUCAACAUCUCUCUCUGUUCCCGAGCGAUCCCCCUCGGAGUCCUCUGAGCAGCCCAGGUACAGGAGGCGUACACACUCCUCAGGGCAGGAUGGCAGGUCACACGAGGAGGUGCGGGUCCAGGAGGAGGUUCAGGAAAUCAGUGUCGAGCUGGAGCCCAAGUGUGACGUUGAGAUUGUAGCUCCUGAAGAAGAAGUCAAAGAAGAGGCAGCUUCUUCAGCCUGUGCCAUUGUCACAUCCACAGCCACCGUAGAGGUGGAGACAGCCAGCCAGGCCUCGGAGCCAGCCAGCCAGGCCUCGGAUGAAGACGACGUGCCAGUCACAGACAUCUACUUUGCUGCAUUAGGUGAUGCAGUGGGAGUCUAGUGCUGAGCCAGGGAGUAAGUUGGUGGUUGGCAGCAGAGUGCCGUGGAGCCUGGCGCUGGUCCUCACUCAGCUCCCACAAUGGCUGAGCAACUUCUGCAGACCAGAGAAGAGGUUUUUUAGCAACAUGUACCUGUCCCAUGGAUUCCCAGAGCACAGCUGACUGCCUGUCCCAUGAGAGCUGAGCUCUCUCGUGUCUGGGCACUGGAACCCUCAUUAAAAGAGGUGCCCGGCUCCUCCCUGCUCUGACUUGUUGCUGUCGGUCCUGUGGUGCUGGAGACAACCUGAGCCCAUGCAAUGGGCUCCUUCAGGCUAAACUAAAAUGCAGCAUUGGCCUUUCCCUGGGCUCUUGUGACUCUGCUGCAGAGCUGCUCACUCAUUGCCGAGUCACUCUGAGGCUUGUGGGAGCUGUGGAAGGAAUCAGCCUUGUUUUACAGCUUGUUUGGGGUUGGAUGCAUGCUGUUCAAAAUGCAAACGGCUCCUCUAACACUGCCCCCUCCUUGCCUGUGGAUGGCAGCUGUGUGCAGGCAGAUCCUGCCUGCUCCCCUGGCAAGUGUCUUCUAGUGAGGGUCAGCUGCUCUUCCUCCCUGUCCCUGGGCAUAUGGACUGCCCCCAGCUUGAGGGGCACCUGUAUCCAAGAGAAAAUUCUGCAGAGUGUGUUCACAGAGAGUGUGACUGACUGCUCAUCAGCAUUUCAUACUUCAUCUGAGUCUGAGUUUUGCAUUAAAUGUGUGUCGUGUGCUGUGGAGUGUUUAUCACUGCUGGGAUGAAGGGAAAAGCUGAUUUGAGUUCCCAUGGGUGCUCUCCUUGGAAAACCACUUGAGCAGGAGCUCAGCCGACAGACGAGAGGAGUUGGGUUUACUCCCCGCUCCACUAUAGCACUCAGCUGCACUCUGUCUCCGAUGAGGAGAGCGAUACAUAAUCUCUAUGCAGACACAGAAGUCCCAGAGAGCAGCGAUUCCCUCUGCAGGUCGAUGUGUUCCCUUUUCGUUGAUGCAGCCAUUCCAGUGGAUGGGGAAGAGCUUGCUGACACCAGUAUUGCUGCACUGCAGGAUCCCGGGCACUGCGUUUCAGAACGGAGCAAAACUAUAACCAUGUAUUUCUACUCACCCCAGACGUGGGCAGCAAAGAAACCACCCGCUCACCCGCAGCUCCCAGCAGAGAAUUCUAGCUGGGUGUAGAGAAUCCUGGGUAGUAACACAGUGUUUUCCAGAUGUGCACUACCAUAGCUACCUAUCCAUGUGUGAUACUGUGAACCUUUUUAAUUUUUUAAUCAUGUAUUUAUUUCUUUUAUCUUUGCACAGAGACAGCACACGUGCUUUUUUAAACAUUUAGUUUACUGCACUUUUUUUUUUUUUUUUCUUCUUUUUUUUUUUUUUCUUUUUUGGUCAUAUAUUUGUGCAUCAAAAAGGAGCAUGAGAUUUCACCGAAGAAUGGGUAGGAGCACGUUGCUGGGGAGGGCAGGGAGUGGAGUGGCUUCAUGUGAGGCAGCAGUGUGGUCUCACCAGCUGAGGGAGUCAGGAGGUUUAAGGCUGUCCAGACACUGCCACGGUUUUUCCAAGUGGCCCAAGGCAAAUCACUAAACCACUCUGUGCCUCGGUUUCCCCCGUGCUAAUGGGUGCACAGUACCUGCUUCCGUUACAGCACUUAAACCCUGGGAUGAAAGGUGCUAUGAAAAUGAAAUGUAUUAAAGGCCAUGGAAUAGAAUUGCUCCCAUGUUACCAUAGUCCAAAGCAGCCAUGCCAAUUCACUUGGAUCCAAACUCUCUAGUGACUUCUCCUGUCUGUGACACCGUGCGGGACAGCACACAGUUCCUGGUGACAGUGACGUGGACUCCUCAGCUCUCCCGAAGUCGUGAUGGGUUCCACCUUCACCCUGUGCUGCACUGCUGCGCCACCCCUCCCUCUGUGCUUGGAGUCCACACCUCGUCCAAGUGGCCACCGCCUGCUGCAGCCCCGCAGGCACGGACAGAUGGGAACUGGGCACCUCCCGAGCCUGGCCACGCUGGAGGGCAACUUCCCCACUGUGCCCAGCCCAUGUGGGGCUUGUCCAGAUCCUGCAUCCUCCUGGAGCCACUCAGCCCCUCACGUGCUCGUGGGUGUACCCUGGGGUCACGGACACUGGGCUCACACGUCCCCUGUGCCCCUCAGGACAGGCAGAGACACAAGGGCACGUCCAGUCACUGGAGGCAGGAAUGGGAGCCUGGCUCUGCCACGGAAUCGUGCCAGCACUGCUGUGCUCCUGGACUCUUGGACAGAAAGCUGCGUGGGUGGGGUCACGUCUGCUGGUGGAAAUCCCUGCUGCGGGGGUCUGAGGGGGUUUGCUUUGCAAGGGCUGUGGGCUGUAGGUGAGAGAAUUGAUGUCAGGGGUAGCGUUCAGCCUCAUCCAUCAGCAGGACACAUAUCAUAGCAUAGUCUGGAAUCCAGCAAUGCUGUCCUUAUCUCCCAGACAGAAAACAGAAAGUCCUUUAGACCAGAGGGAGACAGGUCUUGUUUGUGUGCUUUAUGAACCUCGCUUGAGAAAGAGUCUCUUUAUUCCCUUUACAAUCUUCACUGUCCUUGGGAUUCCAGGUAGAGGGGUGGGGAAGCAGGACCCUGCUCUCAGGCCUCAGUCCCCACAAUCUCUUCACAGCAGCACUCAGGAGUGGUUAUGUUGGGUCCCAGAAGGUAGCUGGGCUGAUGGGAAGCUCUUCCUUCUGUACUGUACUGAACUUAGUGAGAAUCUUCAGGAAUUGAUGUUUUUUUCUUGCCCAGAAUACAGGACCUGGACUUCCCUUCCCUGCCUGUAGAUGCAGAAGGCUCUGAGUUGUGCUUCUUGGGAGCACAGUCUGGGGAUGGUGCAAGUUGCUGCUGUUCAUGUAUCCAUGUAUUUACCAAAUAGUCUAUCAAAAGUCUCUCAAGAAA